GUACACUCCUGCGGGAGGCAGCAGUGGGGAAUUUUGGACAAUGGGCGAAAGCCUGAUCCAGCAAUGCCGCGUGUGUGAAGAAGGCCUUCGGGUUGUAAAGCACUUUUGUCCGGAAAGAAAUCCUUGGCUCUAAUACAGUCGGGGGAUGACGGUACCGGAAGAAUAAGCACCGGCUAACUACGUGCCAGCAGCCGCGGUUAUCCGUAGGGUGCGAGCGUUAAUCGGAAUUACUGGGCGUAAAGCGUGCGCAGGCGGUUUGCUAAGACCGAUGUGAAAUCCCCGGGCUCAACCUGGGAACUGCAUUGGUGACUGGCAGGCUAGAGUAUGGCAGAGGGGGGUAGAAUUCCACGUGUAGCAGUGAAAUGCGUAGAGAUGUGGAGGAAUACCGAUGGCGAAGGCAGCCCCCUGGGCCAAUACUGACGCUCAUGCACGAAAGCGUGGGGAGCAAACAGGAUUAGAUACCCCUGUAGUCCC
rnacentral:rRNA from 1 species